rnacentral:rRNA from 1 species
UACGUAGGGUGCGAGCGUUAAUCGGAAUUACUGGGCGUAAAGCGUGCGCAGGCGGUUGUGCAAGACGGAUGUGAAAUCCCCGGGCUCAACCUGGGAAUUGCAUUUGUGACUGCACGGCUAGAGUGUGUCAGAGGGGGGUAGAAUUCCACGUGUAGCAGUGAAAUGCGUAGAGAUGUGGAGGAAUACCGAUGGCGAAGGCAGCCCCCUGGGAUAACACUGACGCUCAUGCACGAAAGCGUGGGGAGCAAACAGG